GUAUCGUCAAAAGCACCGCAAUGAUAUUUACCCGGUUGCCGGGAGCUCGUAAAUUUUUCCGGCGAACGUAACCACGGAGCAACAGUUGAUUUGUUUACGUGUUCAAUAAGCAUUUCUAACCAGCUAUAAAUCUCGUGUUGUUUUCGUUCAAACAGUCGUCACUGCGGCAACGGCGAUAAUUUUCCAUCGUUUUGACGAAAGUUCAGCGAUUCCCGGACCGGAUGUCGAAUCUCGAGCCCUCUUUACAUGUGGGCGUCGGGAGCUCCGUUCCGGGGUCGCUCCCGGCGGGAAAACCGGGNUGCCGGG